UAGUGGCGAACGGGUGAGUAACACGUGGGCAAUCUGCCCUUCACUCUGGGACAAGCCCUGGAAACGGGGUCUAAUACCGGAUAAUACCUGCCCGGGCAUCUGGGUGGGUUAAAAGCUCCGGCGGUGAAGGAUGAGCCCGCGGCCUAUCAGCUUGUUGGUGAGGUAGUGGCUCACCAAGGCGACGACGGGUAGCCGGCCUGAGAGGGCGACCGGCCACACUGGGACUGAGACACGGCCCAGACUCCUACGGGAGGCAGCAGUGGGGAAUAUUGCACAAUGGGCGAAAGCCUGAUGCAGCGACGCCGCGUGAGGGAUGACGGCCUUCGGGUUGUAAACCUCUUUCAGCAGGGAAGAAGCGAGAGUGACGGUACCUGCAGAAGAAGCGCCGGCUAACUACGUGCCAGCAGCCGCGGUAAUACGUAGGGCGCAAGCGUUGUCCGGAAUUAUUGGGCGUAAAGAGCUCGUAGGCGGCUUGUCACGUCGGGUGUGAAAGCCCGGGGCUUAACCCCGGGUCUGCAUUCGAUACGGGCUAGCUAGAGUGUGGUAGGGGAGAUCGGAAUUCCU
rnacentral:rRNA from 2 species